UACGUAGGGCGCAAGCGUUGUCCGGAAUUAUUGGGCGUAAAGAGCUCGUAGGCGGUUUGUCGCGUCUGCUGUGAAAACCUCAGGCUCAACCUGGGGCUUGCAGUGGGUACGGGCAGACUAGAGUGCGGUAGGGGUGACUGGAAUUCCUGGUGUAGCGGUGGAAGUGCGCAGAUAUCAGGAGGAACACCGAUGGCGAAGGCAGGUCACUGGGCCGCAACUGACGCUGAGGAGCGAAAGCAUGGGGAGCGAACAGG
rnacentral:rRNA from 1 species